CGUUGUCCUAACAAAAAAGGGGAACUGGUGUGAAUUAAGAGUGGGAUCUGUUGCGGCAAAAGAUAAUAGAGGAACUUGCAGUUCAUUUACAACAUGGGAUAUGAUAUGAGCAACUACAGAAGAUUGAGGGCCUAUAAUUGCNUCCAUGAAUCGCAAAGAUUCAACCAUGCCUGUAAACCCACUGCAGUUGGAACUUUGCAUCGUG
rnacentral:misc_RNA from 1 species